UACGUAGGUGGCAAGCGUUGUCCGGAUUUAUUGGGUUUAAAGGGUGCGUAGGCGGCUUUGUAAGUCAGUGGUGAAAUAUGGCAGCUCAACUGUCAGGGUGCCAUUGAUACUGCGGAGCUUGAGUACAGAUGAGGUAGGCGGAAUUGACGGUGUAGCGGUGAAAUGCUUAGAUAUCGUCAAGAACACCGAUAGCGAAAGCAGCUUACUAGGCUGUAACUGACGCUGAGGCACGAAAGUGUGGGGAUCAAACAGG
rnacentral:rRNA from 1 species